rnacentral:rRNA from 1 species
UACGUAGGGAGCAAGCGUUGUCCGGAAUCAUUGGGCGUAAAGCGCGCGUAGGCGGCCCCGUAAGUCCGCUGUGAAAGUCAAAGGCUCAACCUUUGAAAGCCGGUGGAAACUGUGGGGCUAGAGUCCGGAAGAGGCGAGUGGAAUUCCUGGUGUAGCGGUGGAAUGCGCAGAUAUCGGGAGGAACACCAAUUGCGAAGGCAGCUCGCUGGGACGUCACUGACGCUGAGACGCGAAAGCGUGGGGAGCAAACAGG